GGCAGGGGAGGAGGAGCUGGAGGAAACUCCCUGCUCUAGAGGUUUCUCUGGCUGCUGGUAAGUCUGAUCUUUUACUAGUGUGUUUGUUUGGUGGGAGCAGGGAUGCAAUAACUGCUUUCUCCCUUCUCUCCCCCUUUCUGUCUUUUGCAUCUACUUUUUACCCUUUCUUUUCUGCCUUUCUCCCUGUUGUUUGCCCCUGCUGUACUGCUUUUUUCGCCUUUGUUUUCCUUUAAGCUGGCAGGCUUGGGUAAAUACCCAAGCCUGCUUGCGUGGAGGAAAGGGGGUGGGCUUCAGCCUCUAGGUUCUUCUCUGCCACCGCCCCCUCCUACCCCCGCCGCCACUCCAGUGCCCACCAGCUGCUACUAGGGCUACCCUAUAUUUUAAUCUUGGUGUUAACCAAGGUAAGAGGGGAAAGGCCCCAUCUAGCCUCACAGUCCCAAUUGUGUGUGCAAUCGGGGCUCUUCACAGUGGUUCCUGGCAGCCUAGCUCACUUCCAACCAUUGAGUGCUGCCUAUAGAGCGACCAGGAAGCUGAGAGCUGCUGCAUUGUUGCAGGCAACCUUUCCACUGCCCAUGCAAUGCAUUGUGGGAUACUGGAGGACUUCCUCCUCCAGAACCCUGCUGAAGACAUCACCGCGCCAUUUGUGUGGGUGCGUGGUGCAGCGGAGCCCUUUGCUUUUGUUGGGGAAGGUAGAUAUAAUCCAGUCCUCCCUAGCUCCAGGGAGUUUGGUCAUGUGAAUGACCUUACUGAGUGACGAGAACAUAAAUGGGAUGUGGCUUGUAGGCCUGCAGUCACUAUGCCUCACGGGGGCUGAGGAGUAGCAAGUUGAUUUGAUCAACAGAGAGAGGAAGGCUGUUCCAGGCAGUGACAUGGCAGCAGAAGGCAUGCAGAUGUGUUGGCAGAGGAGACAGAGGGGUCUGAGAGCUCAGCAGGUGAGCUAUGCUUCAUCUAGCCCUGAAGGACUUGAAGCUUAAGGAGCUGACUCAUUGAGCCCUUCAGGGACAUAUUGUUAGGGGAUGAAGUAGCUAAUUCAUGUGGGCGCAGCUUUGAAAUGGAUUAGCCUCUGUGUUAAGCGACUGGCAUGGAAUCAUUUUUUACAGGACUUUGCUGACUUUGCAAACCUGGAACACAAAGCUGAGUAAAACUCUUUCAGUAGCAACAUCUUGAUAUGGAACAGCACAGGGCAGGCCUGAUGGUUUCUGUCACUUCUGCCCCACUCAUGCCUUUGAGACUCAGGGUUUUCUGCAGCUGCUGCAAUGACUCGGCAACAAUCCCAAGCGGGAACAGAGGUUAAGAAAAGGGUUCCUAGUUUUCAGGCCACCAGCUGCCAUUUUCCACAUGUUCUAGCUGGGGUGGGUGGGGCAGCAGCAGUUCUGUGAGGAAUAAUGUGAGGAACAGCAGUUCUGUGAUUAAUAUUUGGGAUCACCUGAAGACAGAAGUGGUUUCCAGGGACUGGGCUUCAAAACAGAGCUUCAGCUGCAAGGUCGUUCAUGCUGCUCUGUAGCCACGCUCAGCUGGUCCUGAUGAGUCCUUAAUAUGACUGUAUUCACUUUAUUGAUUCUGCCUGUUCAGUUGACUUCUACUUUAAUCUGUAGCAAGCUGAGGUUUGAGACAACUGGGACAAUUCCAGCAGUACUGCUGAGGAAAAGAAAAGCAAGACUUUUCAUUUCAUGGAAAACAGAACUUUCCUUGUCUGCCCAACCAAAAGUGGUCCUUCCAUGAGGCUUGUCUCCUCUGAAUUACAUGUUGAACCUCUCCUAAUAAGAUGACAACCGAAUCUAAUGCCAGAGUGCCUCUUUCAUGAGGCGAAAGGAGGCGAUGACUUCGCAUUGCUUGCUGUCUCCCCGGCACCACACUUUUCUGCUGCUUUCUCUUCUUCAUUCAAGCAUCCCACAGAAGAGUCUUUUCCUUGGAGCUCUCUUCCCAGAACAGGAAACAGAGGAGAUGAGGGCAGCAGAGACGUUCAGCAUUGGGAAAACAAGUGGUGGAUGGAUGAGUGAGCAAGUGAGUCCAUCCCUGCUAAUGGAGCAGCACCAACAGAGGGAUCAGAAGCUAAAUACAGUGGGGCAGACAGCGUGCACAAGCAGAGCAAGGAGAAAGAGGGAAGAGGGGCAGCACAAGGGGCUGAGGCCUACAGAGCAUGCUCCAGGGAGGGGAGGCAGGUGAGGGAAAGACAGCAGAGGAGGGGCAGCAUCACCAGGCUCCUGCGGUGUUUUUGGUCAAUCCAUUCCUUGAUCCAGGCCAGCUUUUGAAUGGUGCCUUAGUUACUUUUAGUCCAGUUCUGGAGUAGAGGUGGGGCUAACAAACAGCCAGCAGCAAGAUUCCCUCCCUGGCAUCUCCAAGAUAGGGCUGAGAGAGACUCUGCCUGCAACUUUGAAUAAGCCACUUGCAAUCUGGGUAGACCAUGUUGAGCUAGAUGGACCAAUUGCCUGACUCAGUAAUGGCAGCUUUCUAUGUUCCUAUGUAAUAUCUAUUUUCAUUAAACCAUAAGUAUUCCUGAUUCUA